rnacentral:rRNA from 1 species
CAUCGGGUUGAGGGAAAAGGAGCAAUCCGCUUUGAGAUGGCCUCGCGUCCGAUUAGCUAGUUGGUGAGGUAACGGCCCACCAAGGCGACGAUCGGUAGCCGGACUGAGAGGUUGAACGGCCACAUUGGGACUGAGACACGGCCCAGACUCCUACGGGAGGCAGCAGUGGGGAAUAUUGCACAAUGGGGGAAACCCUGAUGCAGCGACGCCGCGUGGAGGAAGAAGGUCUUCGGAUUGUAAACUCCUGUUGUUGAGGAAGAUAAUGACGGUACUCAACAAGGAAGUGACGGCUAACUACGUGCCAGCAGCCGCGGUAAAACGUAGGUCACAAGCGUUGUCCGGAAUUACUGGGUGUAAAGGGAGCGCAGGCGGGAAGACAAGUUGGAAGUGAAAUCCAUGGGCUCAACCCAUGAACUGCUUUCAAAACUGUUUUUCUUGAGUAGUGCAGAGGUAGGCGGAAUUCCCGGUGUAGCGGUGGAAUGCGUAGAUAUCGGGAGGAACACCAGUGGCGAAGGCGGCCUACUGGGCACCAACUGACGCUGAGGCUCGAAAGUGUGGGUAGCAAACAGGAUUAGAUACCCUGGUAGUCCACACUGUAAACGAUGAUUACGAGGUGUUGGAGGAUUGACCCCUUCAGUGCCGCAG